rnacentral:rRNA from 1 species
GACGAACGCUGGCGGCGUGCCUAACACAUGCAAGUCGAACGGGGUAAAGAGGCUCGGGUUUUUUACUUAGUGGCGAACGGGUGAGUAACGCGUGAGAAACCUGCCUUUCAGUGGGGAAUAACGUUUGGAAACGAACGCUAAUACCGCAUACGCCGGAAACGGGAAAGAUUUUAUCGGUGGUGGAUGUGCCCGCGUUGGAUUAGCUUGUUGUGGGGUAACGGCCUACCAAGGCGAUGAUCCAUAGCUGGUCUGAGAGGACGAUCAGCCACGCUGGAACUGAGACACGGUCCAGACUCCUACGGGAGGCAGCAGCUAAGAAUAUUGGACAAUGGGGGAAACCCUGACCCAGCAACGCCGCGUGAAGGAAGAAGGCCUUCGGGUUGUAAACUUCUUUUACCAGGGACGAAUAUUGACGGUACCUGGAGAAAAAGCAACGGCUAACUACGUG